AUGAGCAUUCUCAGUAGUUUCGGCGACGCUUCUGGCCUGAAGAUCAACAAUGCAAAGUCCACGGCGACUCCGAUCUGCUGCAAUAACGUCGACCUCAACGCUGUUCUUCAGUCUUUCGGAGGGCCGGUGACGCAGUUUCCAAUUAGAUAUUUAGGUCUUCCACUUACAAUAGGCCGUCUCCGUCUCGUCCAUCUCCAAUUCAUCCUCGAUCGUAUUAGAGCUAGGCUUGCGGGCUGGAAGGGGAAAUUACUAUCCAUUGCCGGUCGUAGAGUUCUUGUCAGAUGUGUUCUUACUGCCAUGCCAAUGUUCGCCCUAACGGCACUGCGCUUCCCUGCCAAGCUUCUCAAGGAAAUCGACAAGUGUAGACGCCGCUUCUUCUGGGGUCAGGAUAUGGAGCUCUCAGGCGAUAGCUGCAAGGUUAGCUGGGGGCGGGCCUGCACGCCGAUUGAGCAGGGCGGGCUGGGCAUCCUCGACCUGACAAAAUUCAGCAGCGCCCUAAGACUUCGAUGGCUUUGGCACGCCUGGAAAAGCCUGGAGCGACUGUGGGCAGGGACGGGGCCACCCUGCGACGACUCCGACAGGGCCCUUUUUUGCGCGGCCACCAAAGUGGAUAUUGGCAACGGCUGGACGGCCAGUUUUUGGCACUCGGCAUGGAUCGAGGCGUCACCUCUGAAGAUCCUCUACCCCAACCUUUUCAAGCUCUCCAGGCGGAAGAACAUGUCUGUUGCUAACGCGCUGCUGCAAGAUCGCUGGAUCGCCGACCUAGCACACGGCGACGCCAGCCCAAUCGCCCGGGACGUGCUAAAUCUGCAUAGGCGCAUCCAACAGCGCAGUGUAAAUCUCCACGAAGACAGCCAGGACAGCAUUACAUGGAAAUCACAGCCUCAGGACAGUACUCCGUGCGAUCGGCGUACGCUGCUCAGUUCCAGGGCUGUGUAA
rnacentral:rRNA from 1 species